rnacentral:rRNA from 1 species
UACAGAGGUCUCAAGCGUUGUUCGGAUUCAUUGGGCGUAAAGGGUGCGUAGGCGGCGCGGUAAGUCGGGUGUGAAAUCUUGGAGCUUAACUCCGAAACUGCAUUCGAUACUGCCGUGCUUGAGGACUGGAGAGGAGACUGGAAUUUACGGUGUAGCGGUGAAAUGCGUAGAUAAUCGUAAGGAAGACCAGUGGCGAAGGCGGGUCUCUGGACAGUUCCUGACACUGAGGCACGAAGGCCAGGGGAGCAAACGGG